GGCUUGGUAGCUCAGUUGGUAGAGCACUUGAUUGAAGCUCAAGGUGUCGGCAGUUAGAUUCUGUCCCAAGCCA
rnacentral:tRNA from 1 species